GCAUCACCGGUUCCCAUACGAUCACCGAAGUUAAGCAACGUUGAACCUAAUCAGUACCAAGAUGGGUGACCGCGAGGAAAUGCCAGGUGCUGUAAG